rnacentral:rRNA from 1 species
AGCAGCCGCGGUAAUUCCAGCUCCAAUAGCGUAUAUUAAAGUUGUUGCAGUUAAAAAGCUCGUAGUUGAAUUUCGGGAUCGACGGGUCGGUCGCGCCUCUGGUGUGUACUGGCCCUGUCGGUUUCUCCCUUCUGACGAACCACGAUGUCAUUAAUUUGGUGUCGUGGGAAAUCAGGACUGUUACUUUGAAAAAAUUAGAGUGUUUAAAGCAGGCAUUCGCUUGAAUACAUUAGCAUGGAAUAAUGAAAUAGGACGUUUGAUCUUAUUUUGUUGGUUUCUAAGAUCGACGUAAUGAUUAAUAGGGAUAGUUGGGGGCAUUAGUAUUCAAUUGUCAGAGGUGAAAUUCUUGGAUUUAUUGAAGACUAACUACUGCGAAAGCAUUUGCCAAGGAUGUUUUCAUUAAUCAAGAACGAAAGUUAGGGGAUCGAAGACGAUCAGAUACCGUCGUAGUCUUAACCAUAAACUAUG